rnacentral:pre_miRNA from 1 species
UCUUCAUUCCGCGCGCUCCCUCACCGUUCAGAGAGGCGAGAGAGUGCGUGAAAUGAAGUGA